GCCCUGUUCGUCUAUCGGUUAGGACACCCGGUUUUCAACCGGACAAGAAGAGUUCGAUUCUCUUACAGGGUACCA
rnacentral:tRNA from 1 species